CCCUAUGGGGUGCAGCAGGCUACCUGACAAAGGAAAGCGCACCUGACGAACUUGUCAUGGCGAUACGCAGGAUAUCCCAGGGAAGGAAAUAUAUCACAAACUCUCUUGCAGAAAAACUGGCCGGUGUCAUUGAAAGACCGACCGAUGUUCCUCUCCACAGCACCCUGUCGGAGAGGGAGUUCAGGGUUAUGGUGAUGAUCGCUUCGGGGCAUUCCAUCAAGAAGAUAUCAGAAGAUCUUUUUCUGAGUAUCAAGACCGUGAGCACCUAUCGGACGAGAAUCCUCAAGAAGAUGAAUUUCAAGAACAAUUCGGAGUUGAUCAGAUACAGUAUAGAAAAUGGACUGGGAAAUUGAUUAGGGAUUAGGGAUUAGCUUCCCUAUUACCCAUAACCUGCUUCACUCAAUAUACAUUUCCGGGGCGGGGGGGC
rnacentral:rRNA from 1 species